rnacentral:rRNA from 1 species
AUGAACGCUGGCGGCGUGCCUAAUCCAUGCCAGUCGAGCGCACGGACGAGAAGCUUGCUUCUCUGAUGUUAGCGGCGGACGGGUGAGUAACACGUGGAUAACCUACCUAUAAGACUGGGAUAACUUCGGGAAACCGUAGCUAAUACCGGAUAAUAUUUUGAACCGCAUGGUUCAAAAGUGAAAGACGGUCUUGCUGUCACUUAUAGAUGGAUCCGCGCUGCAUUAGCUAGUUGGUAAGGUAACGGCUUACCAAGGCAACGAUGCAUAGCCGACCUGAGAGGGUGAUCGGCCACACUGGAACUGAGACACGGUCCAGACUCCUACGGGAGGCAGCAGUAGGGAAUCUUCCGCAAUGGGCGAAAGCCUGACGGAGCAACGCCGCGUGAGUGAUGAAGGUCUUCGGAUCGUAAAACUCUGUUAUUAGGGAAGAACAUAUGUGUAAGUAACUGUGCACAUCUUGACGGUACCUAAUCAGAAAGCCACGGCUAACUACGUG